AUUUUUUUUUUUUAGUUAUACAUACAGGUGCUGGUCAUAUAAUUAGCAUAUCAUCAAAAAGUUGAUUUAUUUCACUAAUUCCAUUCAAAAAGUGAAACUUGUAUAUUAUAUUCAUUCAUUACACACAGACUGAUAUAUUUCAAAUGUUUAUUUCUUUUAAUUUUGAUGAUUGUAACUGACAACUAAGGAAAAUCCCAAAUUCAGUAUCUCAGAAAAUUAGAAUAUUACUUAAGACCAAUACAAAGAAAGGAUUUUUAGAAAUCUUGGCCAACUGAAAAGUAUGAACAUGAAAAGUAUGAGCAUGUACAGCACUCAAUACUUAGUUGGGGCUCCUUAUGCCUGAAUUACUGCAGCAAUGCGGCGUGGCUUGGAGUCGAUCAGUCUGUGGCACUGCUCAGGUGUUAUAAGAGCCCAGGUUGCUCUGAUAGUGGCCUUCAGCUCUUCUGCAUUGUUGGGUCUGGCAUAUCGCAUCUUCCUCUUCACAAUACCCCAUAGAUUUUCUAUGGGGUUAAGGUCAGGCGAGUUUGCUGGCCAAUUAAAAACAGGGAUACCAUGGUCCUUAAACCAGGUACUGGUAGCUUUGGCACUGUGUGCAGGUGCCAAGUCCUGUUGGAAAAUGAAAUCUGCAUCUCCAUAAAGUUGGUCAGCAGCAGGAAGCAUGAAGUGCUCUAAGACUUCCUGGUAUACGGCUGCGUUGACCUUGGACCUCAGAAAACACAGUGGACCAACACCAGCAGAUGACAUGGCACCCCAAACCAUCACUGACUGUGGAAACUUUACACUGGACCUCAAGCAACGUGGAUUGUGUGCCUCUCCUCUCUUCCUCCAGACUCUGGGACCCUGAUUUCCAAAGGAAAUGCAAAAUUUACUUUCAUCAGAGAACAUAACUUUGGACCACUCAGCAGCAGUCCAGUCCUUUUUGUCUUUAGCCCAGGCGAGACGCUUCUGACGCUGUCUGUUGUUCAAGAGUGGCUUGACACAAGGAAUGCGACAGCUGAAACCCAUGUCUUGCAUACGUCUGUGCGUAGUGGUUCUUGAAGCACUGACUCCAGCUGCAGUCCACUCUUUGUGAAUCUCCCCCACAUUUUUGAAUGGGUUUUGUUUCACAAUCCUCUCCAGGGUGCGGUUAUCCCUAUUGCUUGUACACUUUUUUUCUACCACAUCUUUUCCUUCCCUUCGCCUCUCUAUUAAUGUGCUUGGACACAGAGCUCUGUGAACAGCCAGCCUCUUUUGCAAUGACCUUUUGUGUCUUGCCCUCCUUGUGCAGGGUGUCAAUGGUCGUCUUUUGGACAACUGUCAAGUCAGCAGUCUUCCCCAUGAUUGUGUAGCCUACAGAACUAGACUGAGAGACCAUUUAAAGGCCUUUGCAGGUGUUUUGAGUUAAUUAGCUGAUUAGAGUGUGGCACCAGGUGUCUUCAAUAUUGAACCUUUUCACAAUAUUCUAAUUUUCUGAGAUACUGAAUUUGGGAUUUUCCUUAGUUGUCAGUUAUAAUCAUCAAAAUUAAAAGAAAUAAA